GUGCUUCAGUAGCACAUAUACUAAACUUGAAACAAUACAGAGAAGAUUAGCAUGGCCUCUGUGCAAGGAUGACAUGCAAAUUUGUGAAGCAUUCCAUACGUUU
ensembl:snRNA U6 U6 spliceosomal RNA